rnacentral:misc_RNA from 1 species
AAGUCGUAACAAGGUUUCCGUAGGUGAACCUGCGGAAGGAUCAUUAUUGAAUAAACCUGAUGGGUUGUAGCUGGCUCCCCUUGGGGGUAUGUGCACACCUGUCAUCUUUAUAUCUCCACCUGUGCACCCUUUGUAGACUUGAAUAUCAUUCUGAGGCAAACUCAGUUGUGAAGACUGACGCGCAUCUAGUUAUGCCGUCUUUCUUUAAACUUUCAGGUCUAUGUUUUUCAUAUACUCCUGUAUGUAACAGAAUGUUUCACUAGGCCUUGUGCCUAUAAACAAUAUACAACUUUCAGCAACGGAUCUCUUGGCUCUC